UACAGAGGUCCCAAGCGUUGUUCGGAUUCAUUGGGCGUAAAGGGUGCGUAGGCGGCGCGGUAAGUCGGGUGUGAAAUCUCGGAGCUUAACUCCGAAACUGCAUUCGAUACUGCCGUGCUUGAGGACUGGAGAGGAGACUGGAAUUUACGGUGUAGCGGUGAAAUGCGUAGAUAUCGGGAGGAACACCAAUGGCGAAGGCAGCUCGCUGGGACGGUACUGACGCUGAGACGCGAAAGCGUGGGGAGCAAACAGG
rnacentral:rRNA from 1 species